GAUGCCAAAGCUUUUACACUCAAAAAAUAUACAACUUUGAGAGCAAAAAAAAAAAAAGAAUUAGAAUACCUAAAUGGUAAGCUGAAUUUCCAGAGCUUUUGUGCUAGUUCAAGUGCUUUUCUUGUUGGGUUUUCAAGGGGUGUUCUUGAUUCUGCUGCUGCUGUUUGCUACUGUCUGUUUGAUGUUGCUACUGUCGGGUUCUAACGUACAUUCUGUUUGUUAGUUUAACAUUUUCGAAGGUCAUUGUUGCUACUAAAAUUCUGCAAUUAGAUAACUCUUUCAACCUUUAGAGUAAUUGUCUUUACAAUAGGACAAUGAAGAUAUUGUUUUGAGAUGUGUUUUGAUCCUUACAUUAUUAUAAGAAAUGAGAAAAUUUUUACUUUGCAUUCUCUGAUUUGUUUGUUUUCAGAUUUAGUUAUUUUAUAUAUCUUAGUUGUUGAUGUAUAGUUAAUGUGUUGGUAAACAGGUAAAAAAGUGAAUCAAGGAAGAGCUUCAGCUUUCUUGUUCUUUAUUAGCUAUAUAUUUUAAUACAUCAUGUUGUUAAUAUAGGGAUUCUAUA
rnacentral:lncRNA from 1 species